AUACGGGGGGUGCAAGCGUUAAUCGGAAUUACUGGGCGUAAAGCGCGCGUAGGCGGUUUACCAAGUCAGGCGUGAAAGCCCCAGGCUCAACCUGGGAACUGCGCUUGAUACUGGUAGACUAGAGGCCGGGAGAGGGUAGUGGAAUUCCCAGUGUAGAGGUGAAAUUCGUAGAUAUUGGGAAGAACACCAGUGGCGAAGGCGGCUACCUGGACCGGACCUGACGCUGAGGUGCGAAAGCGUGGGGAGCAAACAGGAUUAGAAACCCCGGUAGUCC
rnacentral:rRNA from 1 species